GUCCACGCCGUAACGAUGGGUGCUAGGUGUGGGGUGUCGACUCCCUCCGUGCCGAAGCUAACGCAUUAAGCACCCCGCCUGGGGAGUACGGCCGCAAGGCUAAAACUCAAAGGAAUUGACGGGGCCCGCACAAGCAGCGGAGCAUGUGGUUUAAUUCGACGCAACGCGAAGAACCUUACCAAGGCUUGACAUGCACUUGAAAAAGCGUGGAAACACGCUCCCUCUUCGGAGCAAGUGCACAGGUGGUGCAUGGCUGUCGU
rnacentral:rRNA from 1 species